GAAUUCGCCCUUAGAGUUUGAUCCUGGCUCAGGAUGAACGCUGACAGAAUGCUUAACACAUGCAAGUCGAUUCGAUUUACCUUCGGGUAUUGAGGAUGGCGGACGGGUGAGUAACGCGUAAGGAACUUGCCUCUUGGACUGGGACAACUGUUGGAAACGACAGCUAGUACCGGAUAUUAUGAGAUUCUCGCAUGAGAAACUUAUGAAAGCUAUAUGCGCCAAGAGAGAGCCUUGCGUUCCAUUAGCUAGUUGGUGGGGUAAUGGCCCACCAAGGCGACGAUGGAUAGCCGGCCUGAGAGGGUGAACGGCCACAAGGGGACUGAGACACGGCCCUUACUCCUACGGGAGGCAGCAGUGGGGAAUAUUGGACAAUGGGCCACAAGCCUGAUCCAGCAAUUCUGUGUGCACGAUGAAGGUCUUCGGAUUGUAAAGUGCUUUCAGUUGGGAAGAAGAAAGUGACGGUACCAACAGAAGAAGCGACGGCUAAAUACGUGCCAGCAGCCGCGGUAAUACGUAUGUCGCAAGCGUUAUCCGGAUUUAUUGGGCGUAAAGCGCGUCUAGGCGGAAAAAUAAGUCUGAUGUUAAAAUGCGGGGCUCAACUCCGUAUUGCGUUGGAAACUGUUUUUCUAGAGUACUGGAGAGGUGGGCGGAACUACAAGUGUAGAGGUGAAAUUCGUAGAUAUUUGUAGGAAUGCCGAUGGAGAAGUCAGCUCACUGGACAGAUACUGACGCUGAAGCGCGAAAGCGUGGGGAGCAAACAGGAUUAGAUACCCUGGUAGUCCACGCCGUAAAC
rnacentral:rRNA from 1 species